AUUGAACGACUGUCGAGAACUGUCGUGUUUAAACCAAUAGGAAAGAAGCUCUUGCGACUGAUGACAAAUAAGAUUCAGCUGCGCGUGCAAGGACCAGAUUACCGGGUAUAAAAGCUCAGCCCAACGGUGACUGGCAGUAGCUUCUUACACAGUGCUCAUAGUAAAGCUAGUGUGAGAGUGUAAUCAAUCUUAAUCCUUCUUUACUCCAACCCAGACAGACGGAGCUUCAAGAAAAAUGGUAAAUAUAUAUUUAAAAAGAAAUUAAUCAUGGAUUUUUUUUAGACCCACUGUAUUUUUAUUAACUUUCUUCGAAUUCUGAAGCUAACAGUACUACAAGGUAACGAUCGUGUGUGGUUUGGACGACAGGCUGAAUUGUCUUUUCUGCAUGUCGUAUUUGUAGCCUCCCUCACAGUUAGCAUACUGCGCAGCUUGUAUUUAUCAGUCCAGUCAUGUUCCUCCGCACUUCCAUCCAUUGAAAAGGUCCGGUGUCUUCCUGUUUUUUCCUCCAGGAGAUGAAUGAAUGAAUGAAGAACAGCAGGGUUUCAUGAGAGCGCAGCUAUAAUUGCAAGUCAUGUAUCUGUCGCGCGUAGCAGUCUGGUAGGCCUACUUAUGUCCAUUACAAUUCUGUGUACAUCUAAAACGUUAACAGUUUAGCUAAGCAAGUGGUACUUUUCUAAUAUGUGCAGCAAGUAUCUAGUGACUCUGUCAUGAUGUUGUGGUGUCUGGCUCUUAACAAUGAACCCCUUUUUCACAGUUACCUUAAGGCCUUUGCUUUCCAGCUGUCUUCAACAUGUGAUGAGCCUCAUUUAGUAUUUUAUUAGGCAUGGUUUGAAUUAUGUAAAGUAUUUUACAACGUGCCUUUUUGUUUUCUUUCUCCAGCGUGAGUGCAUCUCAGUACAUGUUGGUCAGGCCGGUGUCCAGAUCGGUAAUGCCUGCUGGGAGCUUUACUGCCUGGAACAUGGGAUCCAGCCGGAUGGACAGAUGCCCAGUGACAAGACACUGGGAGGAGGAGAUGAUUCCUUCAACACCUUCUUCAGUGAGACUGGAGCUGGAAAGCACGUCCCCAGAGCUGUUUUUGUAGAUCUGGAGCCCACUGUGAUCGGUGAGUGUCAUCAGUUUUGUAAAAAUGUGAAUUUUAGGGAGUUAAGAUCGGAGGAGUGACAAUAAGGAACCGUAAUAACCCUGUUCUCACUUGUGUCUUUAGAUGAAGUGCGCUCUGGGACCUACCGCCAGCUGUUCCACCCAGAGCAGCUGAUCACUGGAAAGGAGGAUGCUGCCAACAACUACGCCCGUGGACACUACACCAUCGGCAAAGAGAUCAUUGAUCUGGUGUUGGACAGGAUCCGCAAACUGGUGGGUAGUAAUAUAAGAAAGAAUAAAUCUCUUGUUUUGACUAAAAUUAAAUUUAAAAAAAAAUUAAGGUUCAUUCUCACUGUCUCUCCCUCUCUGUCCUCAGGCUGAUCAGUGCACUGGCCUUCAGGGCUUCCUGGUCUUCCACAGCUUUGGAGGUGGUACCGGCUCUGGUUUCACCUCCCUGCUGAUGGAGCGUCUGUCUGUCGACUACGGCAAGAAGUCCAAGCUGGAGUUUUCAGUUUACCCAGCUCCCCAGGUGUCCACUGCUGUGGUGGAGCCCUACAACUCCAUCCUGACCACCCACACCACCCUGGAGCACUCUGACUGUGCCUUCAUGGUGGACAACGAGGCCAUCUACGAUAUCUGUCGUAGAAACCUCGAUAUCGAGCGACCAAGUUACACCAACCUGAACAGGUUGAUCAGUCAGAUCGUGUCCUCCAUCACUGCGUCCCUGCGUUUUGAUGGUGCCCUCAAUGUUGAUCUGACAGAGUUCCAGACCAACUUGGUGCCAUAUCCCCGUAUCCACUUCCCUCUGGCCACCUAUGCCCCUGUCAUCUCAGCUGAGAAGGCUUACCAUGAGCAGUUAACAGUGUCAGAAAUCACCAAUUCUUGCUUUGAGCCUGCAAACCAGCUGGUCAAAUGUGACCCUCGCCAUGGCAAGUACAUGGCCUGCUGCCUUUUGUACCGUGGUGAUGUGGUUCCUAAAGACGUAAACGCUGCCAUUGCCACCAUCAAGACCAAGCGCUCCAUCCAGUUUGUGGACUGGUGCCCCACUGGUUUUAAGGUUGGCAUCAACUACCAGCCUCCCACUGUGGUUCCUGGUGGUGACCUGGCCAAGGUCCAGAGGGCUGUGUGCAUGCUAAGCAACACCACUGCUAUUGCAGAGGCCUGGGCCCGUCUGGACCACAAAUUUGACCUGAUGUACGCUAAGCGUGCCUUUGUUCACUGGUACGUGGGUGAGGGUAUGGAAGAGGGUGAGUUCUCAGAGGCCAGAGAGGACAUGGCAGCUCUGGAGAAGGAUUAUGAGGAGGUGGGAGCUGAUAGUCUGGGGGAGGAAGAGGAUGAGGGAGAGGAGUAUUAAACUGCAUGCAUUCCCCUUUAUAUGGCUAAGUGUGCCUUAUCUUAAAAAUAAACUUGUUCUUGAAUGCACAACUGUCUGCUUGUUUCUAUGCACUCAUUUAUUGGCCAGGGUUAUGACUAACAAAUCAGUAUCUUGUUUCACUAAGUUUGAUGGCAUGCUGCUAUGUUAAUUAUUGCCAAACUGUUCAAAUAUUUGUUCUUUUACUUCACCUCACUUGACAGUUUAAUGUUGAACAUUAGUCAUAUUAGGUGUUCAUGGUGUCCAGGAGAAUCUGAAACGCUGUUGAAUCAUAGGUCCCUGCUGAUCCUCUAAACUUGGUCCCUUUUACUUUGAUCAGUCGCAUGUGAAAAUCCCUGCAAAAGAUUAUUAUUUUUUGUUUGUUUAACCUUGUUUUCAGUAUCUCCUGACUCAGCACAUACCUCCAAAUGCCCUCAACAGAAAACAUGUUUUAUAGCCACUACAAACAAUUAAAGCUUUUUUCAAAUCAGAUUUCACUGGUAUCAACAUAACAUAACCAAACCAGAAUGGUGUGAUUUCACAAUAAAUGGGGACCUCUGGUGGUUAAAGGUGGAAGACAAACAGAUGUGGCGCAUAUGACCCAGGGCACAGGGGAAGAAUAGGAUGAAACUUCAAACUACUGAGUAAUACAUAAUACUUGAAAUAUCAGCUGUAACAAGUUAAACAGUGAGGAGAUAUUUUUAAACUGUCAAAUUAAAAUAAGGGCAUCAUUUUUUUGUACUUUCACCAAAACAAGAGGAAUAGAUACUAAACCAGCUAAAGGAUGAGAGAGAGAGUGCUGUUGUACUAAAUCACGUCUUAAUGCAUCUUAGCCAAUCAAAUGACUUCGCCCAAACUGACUGCUAUAAUGGAUAAUACAUAGAUCUAUUAAAUGGUCACUCACAUUCAACUUGUGACCUUUUUGAUCCCUUAUGAACAAUGUUUCAUUGUAGAAAAUAUAGCUUAAACUUGAUCACAUAAGUCACUUUGAUAACUCAAAAUGUAAAGAAGGAUCUAUUUUGGGUACCUUAACACUGGUGAGAUAACAAUCGAACUAUAUACACGAGAUCUAAACAUUUGCCUCUAAUUUGUUUUUAAACGCUAAUAUAAGUGGCAGAAAACGUAAAUACUCAUGGAGGGGAUAAACAACCGCAAAUUUAUGUCAUACUUACUUAUGGAGAUACUGUAGGUGUACUUUAUUUCCAUUUGACCACAGCUUAGUCCACCUUCUACCUCUGUAAGCCAUCUUACAACGCAGACAGAACAUGAAAUAACGCAGAACGAUAGAAAGAGAACUAUCAAGAUGGUUUAUUAUUGAUACAUUAAUGGACAUGGUGUGAAAUGGCGGCUCAGAUAUUCAAAAACUCAUCUAUAGAGCUUCAUUUCCGGUCUGUGACUGACGCAAACCGGCGCGCUCUUACCGUUGCCCCACUUUCUCGCUGAGCUCGUGGCAUGUCAUUGCGAAACACAACGGUUUGAUUUUAACCAAUAAAACUCCGCCCACGUGACUCCCUCAACCAAUCCGGAUCCCGCUUAGCUUUUCCGCCGGUUCAGAGAGUAUAAAUGACCCCGCCUAGUGAAAAUUCGACAGUUACUUCUCACACAGGACUCAUAACGCCCUUUCUGUGAGAGAUAACUUUUUGUCGUCCUCUCCUUUGUUCAAUUUUCCACAGACUUCACACUUUCAACAAACAUGGUGAGUAUGGGAACGGUUUUUUCUUACCUAUAAUGUCACAAAUUAACUAAAAUCAAAUCUCUUAGGUAUGUUAUCACGUGGCGGUUAACCUUUUUGAUUUUAACUUUUAGGCGGUUAACCAGAUCAGGCCUUAAUUUGAGUCAAUGUGUCCGUAUUUUUUUUUGUUAGAUUCAGAUAAAAAUAACAAAGGGAUGAGCUCAAAUUCAAGUUGAGUCUCGGCCUUUUUGUUUUCCGGGUUUUUCUGUCUGUACAAUGACCCACUUAGCAGAGGUCAAUGUGGUCUCAGCCUGAGGUAUUCCUGCUUGUUUGAGAAGACCAAACCUCUCUUAACCCAACCCUUUUUUUGGUUGUAUAGAUAUUUUCAUGUUCUACAUUGUGUGGGCUCAGCUCUUUUCUAUCACAGUCUCAAACCGCAGCUGUGUUGGGUUUGGCCCCACCACAGUAUGUACUUUGAUAGGGUUUAGUUCACUGUCUGAAUAGUCUGAAUAGGCCUCUUGUCUGAUCAUUUCCACCCAAGGGAAUUUUUCUCGCUCCUGAGGGUAAAUAGAUGUUGGAACUUGUCAUCAGGUGACUUUAGUCAUGAAGCUCUGGUAUUUGUCUUGACAAAAGAACCUUUUUUCCUCCUCCUGAAGUCUCACAUUAACACUGUGACCCACCUCGGCAUGUGAUGAGUCGCCUUCAGGGUCUGAUUCAUCACAUUUGAGAUAAGAAAUGUGAAAGCACCUUUUAGCCGAGUGAUUAUUUCAUUACAUUAAAAAUAACAAAAAGCUCGAAAAAUAUUCUGAUUGUUGUUUUUCUGUCUCCACAGCGUGAGUGUAUCUCCAUCCACGUUGGUCAGGCCGGUGUCCAGAUCGGUAAUGCUUGUUGGGAGCUUUACUGCCUGGAACAUGGCAUCCAGCCAGACGGACAGAUGCCCAGUGACAAAACACUGGGAGGAGGAGAUGAUUCCUUCAACACCUUCUUCAGUGAGACUGGAGCUGGAAAGCACGUCCCCAGAGCUGUUUUUGUAGAUCUGGAGCCCACUGUGAUCGGUGAGUGUCAUUAGUUUAGUAAAAAUAUGAAUUUUAGGGAGUAAAGAUCGGAGGAGUGACAAUAAGGAACCGUAAUAACCCUGUUCUCACUUGUGUUUUUAGAUGAAGUGCGCUCUGGGACCUACCGCCAGCUGUUCCACCCAGAGCAGCUGAUCACUGGAAAGGAGGAUGCUGCCAACAACUACGCCCGUGGACACUACACCAUCGGCAAAGAGAUCAUCGACCUGGUGCUGGACAGGAUCCGCAAACUGGUGGGUAGUAAUAUAAGAAAGAAGAAAUUGCUUGUUUCGACUAAAUUGAAUUUAAAAAAAAAUUAAGGUUCAUUCUCACUGUCUCUCCCUCUCUGUCCUCAGGCUGAUCAGUGCACUGGCCUUCAGGGCUUCCUGGUCUUCCACAGCUUUGGAGGUGGUACCGGCUCUGGUUUCACCUCCCUGCUGAUGGAGCGUCUGUCCGUCGACUACGGCAAGAAGUCCAAGCUGGAGUUCUCCAUCUACCCAGCUCCCCAGGUGUCCACUGCUGUGGUGGAGCCCUACAACUCCAUCCUGACCACCCACACCACCCUGGAGCACUCUGACUGUGCCUUCAUGGUAGACAACGAGGCCAUCUACGAUAUCUGCCGUAGAAACCUUGAUAUCGAGCGUCCCACUUACACUAACUUGAACAGGUUGAUCAGUCAGAUCGUGUCCUCCAUCACUGCGUCUCUGCGUUUUGAUGGUGCCCUCAAUGUUGAUCUGACAGAGUUCCAGACCAACUUGGUGCCAUAUCCCCGUAUCCACUUCCCUCUGGCCACCUACGCCCCUGUCAUUUCAGCUGAGAAGGCUUACCAUGAGCAGUUAACAGUGUCUGAAAUCACCAAUGCUUGCUUUGAGCCUGCAAACCAGCUGGUCAAAUGCGACCCUCGCCAUGGCAAGUACAUGGCCUGCUGCCUUUUGUACCGUGGUGAUGUGGUUCCCAAAGAUGUGAAUGCUGCCAUUGCAGCAAUUAAAACUAAGCGCACCAUCCAGUUUGUGGACUGGUGCCCCACUGGUUUUAAGGUGGGCAUCAACUACCAGCCUCCCACUGUGGUACCUGGUGGUGACCUUGCCAAGGUCCAGAGGGCCGUGUGCAUGCUGAGCAACACCACUGCUAUUGCAGAGGCCUGGGCCCGUCUGGACCACAAGUUUGACCUGAUGUAUGCUAAGCGUGCCUUUGUUCACUGGUACGUGGGUGAGGGUAUGGAGGAGGGUGAGUUCUCCGAGGCCAGAGAGGACAUGGCAGCUCUGGAGAAGGAUUAUGAGGAGGUGGGAGCUGAUAGUCUGGGGGAUGACGAUGAAGGAGAGGAGUAUUAAGUUGUUUGCAUCCUCUGAUCUGUGAUCUUUGCUUUUUUUUCAUACCAAAAUAAAGUGAGUUCAUCGACUUAUUCUUUUGUGUUUUU
rnacentral:lncRNA from 1 species